rnacentral:sRNA from 1 species
GCCUGGGGAUGUGGUGGUGCACAUCUGUAAUCCCAGCUGCUUAGGAGGCUGAGGUGGGAGGAUGGAAAGUUGGAGGCCAGCCUGGGCAACUUAGUGAGAUCUUGCUUCAA